ensembl:lincRNA
AGCAAGCAAGCAAGGAACAUGAGAGGAGAGGUGCCUUCCGUCUCUCUGUCCUCGUCCUUUCAGGUUUAGGACCUGCUGGCAGGAUCCUGACGUCGCAGCUCGCGACAGAAAAACACAUACUGGAGGAAGAGAUCCUUUCAAAAGUAAACUGGAAAUGGUGCAUAAAAGUCAUCUCAAAGUCUCCUCUAGGGCCAGGAGCUUUCCCUGAUAAUUUGCUCAGCUGCUAAGGGAAGUGGACUCGACUUCAGCCGAGUGUUGUGUAAAUGCAUUCUGUUUAGAAAAGCAGAUCUGCAUUUAUCUCCUAAUUGGAUGUUGCUGUGAAAAUAUGAAGCCCUCGAAGAGGCAACAACUGUUUCCCUCCUCCCUUCCCAGUCCCUCUUUCAUAUUCUGAGCUGUUCUGGGUCCCCUUUCCUUUGGAGAAUACACAUUCUCCUUGGAUAAAUGAUGUCUCUGUGAACAGAGUACAAAAUAGAUGCAGUUAGAACCAGCUUUGCCUGGACACCUGAAAGCUAGAUUUAAGAACUGCUCAUGUCUGUAGACACCUGAACCAAAAGCAGAACGGUGAAAAGGAAGAAACCUUCAUGAAGCAGAACAGCCAGAUCCUCAGAUGUUUCUAAACUGCCUGGAAGGAGCUCUCGGGAAUUCCACAGCCAUGGUGGGAAAGGUGCCCAAAAGGAUCCCCGAGGCCCCGAGGAGCAAGGGCUGUGUCUGGUGUCUUCUGCAUCCGAAAGUCUCUCCUUCCUCUUCUGCUCUGCUUCCACCUUUACUGGGCAGCUGCAGUGGACGUGGUGAAAGCCAAGGACCAUGCUCACAGCCUUUCUUGGACCAACAUGGAUUUUCAGGAUGUCUCCUGCUCUGCUCCAGAAUUUGUGGUCCCGUGAAGAAAACAGCAACUAAUACAUGGGUAAAAAAAGGAAAUGAAGGAACACAUAUGCGAUAGAAAUGGUUCAUGAGAAGUCUCGCUUUCCUCUCUCUCCUGAAGAAGCUGGGGAAGGAAGAGCAAGCAGAGAAGUGGUUGUUAACUCUCCUGUUUGGGAGGCGCUGCAGGAGCAAGGAGAGUGUGGUGUGCGGUGUGUGGUGGAGAGACACAGGAUGGUAGAGAUGAGGAAGGGUCACAAGAUGGCGGAGGUGAGUGAGGAGACGGAAGAGCUGUCUGCGUUAUAGGGUGGGGGAGGUGUGAGUGGUGAGUGAUCUGCCGGAUUGAAGGUGGAUCGAAGGUGGGAGUCGGGAGGGGUGGGGGAUGGAGUCUGGGCUAGAAGUACCUGAGAGGACCAAAGAGGUUUGACAGAGGGAAGGUAGGAGAAAGAAGUCUUGUAGUUAGGGGAUUUCUACCAAUUUGCCAUUACGUUUACUAUUGCGUAAAUCGUGCAGUGUGUUAAAAUUGAAAGUGCCAUUUUCAGGCCAUUGAGAUUUAUUACCUAAUUUGUACUGAGGUCAAACUUGGUUGCAAUAAAAAUGAGUGAUUUUAGCUUAAAGUCGGGUCCCAACAAGGAGAUGAUGUUGUGCCAGGAGGCAACCAAGAGGUGUUAGGAGAGGGGGUUUGGAUUGUUGGGCAGGCGUGUUAGGGUGGGGGAGGAGGAGUUUGCUCCUUAGGAAGAGGGCAAAAGAGAGGAAUGUCCUUGUCUCUUUUGAUACUCCCGAGCCAGUCCCUGGAAGGGGAGAACGAGACAGAGGACCCGAGUAGAGGGAAGCUAACUACCUACUCACCCUGAAAUCAGAGACCAGUGUGGGCCUGAGUCAUCAGCAAUGAAAAAGUAGAAAACCCUAAGGAGGUCCUGGCUUGGCAGAUGUGGCUGGGAGGAGGCAGCUGAAUGGUCAGUCAACUCCAGCCUCCUGGGGAUCAUUGAUUAAUGGACCGCCUUUCUCCCGGGUCUCAGUACCAGAUAUGUUAGGUAAAAAGAGCCAAAACCAAGACUAGACCAGGAC